AUGUUUUCUGUAGCUCUGCUGCUGCUGCUGGCAGCUGGAUGUGUGAAGUGUCAACAGUUGACACAGCCAGCCUCUGUGACUGUGCAGCCAGGUCAGAGUCUGACCAUCACCUGUCAGGUCUCUUAUUCUGUUAGCAGCUACUUCACAGCCUGGAUCAGACAGCCUGCAGGGAAAGGACUGGAGUGGAUCGGUAGCGGAGCUGGAUCCACCAGAUACUACAAGAUUCACUGAAGAACCAGUUCAGUAUCGACUUAGACUCUUCCAGCAACAGAGUGACUCUGAACGGACUGAAUAUGCAGACUGCAGACACUGCAGUGUAUUACUG